GGGAAAGCACGCUCUGUCGGCUUCGUACUCUCUGUUUCCUCCAUAUUUGCUCUGCUUAUUUUCUAUCUAAAUCAGUCUUCCUAUUCAAGAAAUGAUUAUAACUAGACUGAGUCACUGCCUUGUCUAUAUCUCUCUCUCCGCUAGAACAGCCCAUUAGCCUCCUCUCCCUCACUCACCCUUUUCUACGAAGGAAAAAGCGAGGAUGGUAAUUGGCGUGAUGGAUGAUCUUGGUGAAAAGAAAUCAUUGCAUGAUGAUGAACAGGACAAGAGUAUUGAGAUAAAGAAUUCUUGUACCGUCUGCAAAACUACCAAGACACCAUUGUGGAGAAGUGGACCUGCUGGGCCCAAGGUGCAAUAUUCAUUCUCUCUGCUCAUUUUUCUCUGUUUCAUUCUGUUCUUUGGGUUUUUGGUCUCUGUAUUUCACUUGAAUCCCCUGUUUACCACUGCCCAUUAUAUUUUUGUGGAUACCCAAUUGAUUUUUCAUUUGGAUCUAUGAUUUUAACUGCUAGACUGUGACUUGUACUUUUGAUUUCAUGGUCUGGGUGGGUUUUGGAUUUUGGUAUUUUCAGUCACUGUGCAACGCUUGUGGGAUCAGAUACAGAAAGAAACGAAGAUCAAUUUUGAGGUUAGACGAGGAUUCAGAGAAGAAAAAGAGAAGCCAUUGCACCACCCUCACAAGUACCGCUGUAAAUAGCAGCACCAGUGCGACCUCGGUCAAUAGCGUUAAUGGUAAUGAAUUGGGGGAGUCAUUGAAGAUAAGACUAAUCGUAGAGGGUGGGAAAAGGAAAUUUGAAAUAUCAUCAGUUGUAAAGAAACAGACCUGCCAGCGGAGAAGGGAGCUGGAAGAAGAAGAACAGGCUGCUUUUUCUUUAAUGGCAUUGUCUUGUGAUUCUUUUUUUGCAUGUAAUAGGAAAAGAUAAAAUACAGAGUGGAUUUGAUGUUAAACUGCAAACCAACCCUGCCCCGCAUACCUUUUCUUUGUCCUUUUUAGAUUAUCAUCCAUGACCUUUCUUCUUCUUCUUCUCCAUUUUCAGAGGAAGAUGGUGAAGAAUGGUGAUAUCGUGUGUACACAGAAUUUUCUGAAUAAUGAAGGAAUAUAUGUUUCUCAG
rnacentral:misc_RNA from 1 species